AAUCAACGCUGGCGGCGUGCCUAACACAUGCAAGUCGAACGGGAAAACAGGGGCAACUCUGUGAGUACAGUGGCGUACGGGUGAGUAACACGUGACUACCUACCUUCGAGUGGGGGAUAACCCCGGGAAACCGGGGCUAAUACCGCAUAACAUCGCAAGAUCAAAGGAGCAAUCCGCUUGAAGGGGGGGUCGCGGCUGAUUAGCUAGUUGGUAGGGUAAUGGCCUACCAAGGCGAUGAUCGGUAGCCGGCCUGAGAGGGCGCACGGCCACACUGGAACUGAAACACGGUCCAGACUCCUACGGGAGGCAGCAGUGGGGAAUUUUGCGCAAUGGGGGAAACCCUGACGCAGCAACGCCGCGUGGAGGAUGAAGUCCCUUGGGACGUAAACUCCUUUCGACCGGGACGAUUAUGACGGUACCGGUGGAAGAAGCCCCGGCUAACUUCGUGCCAGCCGCCGCGGUAAUAC
rnacentral:rRNA from 1 species